AAGACCAAAGUAUCUUCAAAAGCCUUACACUUGUUUUAUUUGGACUUCCUCCCCAGUUGUCACUUACAGGAAGACUCAAAGUCCAAAUCCUAAGGAAUACCAAAAAUGGAAUAGAAAACAAAGACACCGACGUGGAAAUAAAAACUGGGAAUCAUUCUGGAACAUUCAUAGUUCUAGCUAUGGCCAUAAAAAGUGACUUCAACAAGACCUUCAGAAGAAUAGCUCGUCUCUUUUACUGGUUCCCCAAAUCACUGACCUGCUCAAAGAAUCGGAAAUCCAAAUUGGUCUGGAGCCAAGGUAGAGGAGUGGAAUGGCUGGGUCAUACGGUAGAUGUAUACCGACCUAUGAAGAAACUGCAGGCUACCCAGCAGCCGCGUACCGAAGGAGUUCUGUUUGCUCUUCUCCAACACUUGCCAUGGUCCCUUCCGUCUUAGCCAUUCUAAUAGAGGGUAAAUAUAUAUGUCAUUCUUACUGCCGAGACCUGGUACAUCUGGAUUAUCCACAGAAUGGGAAAGCACCAAGCCGCGUGCCAGCUCGCGAAGUAAGACAUUCAAGCAAAAAGAAUACUCAGAAUAGCCUCUGGAUUCCACCAGUGCAGGAGCUGUAGAUGGGCACUUCCUCAUCUGUGUGGGGCUCUCACUC